CGGUUCUCGUUCCCAACUCAUUGCUUAGAGCAUUUAGAUUUUGCUGGAAAUAAUUAUGUUGAUUUGUAUGUUAAAGAUAGCUGUGGUGAGCUUCGAGUUAUUCGUUGCCUGAAGAGAAAUGGAGUUUAUGACAAGCCAGUGCUUUCUAUGGGCUGGCUUAAAUUUGUUGCUGAUUAUGGACUGAGAGUUGGUGACAAGGUUGUUCUUCAUCGUGAGGAUGACCAUAACCUGGGGUCACAGUUCAUGAUUGAAGCUAAGAGGAGAAUCAUGCUGCUUGGUGAGGAGGCUUGGGGUGAUGUGACAAGAGCUAACUAGCUAUUAUUUGGAUGUUCGGCCAUAUCCAGAUAUAUAUAGAAGAAUGAAUUUAUGUAUGUGUUUAUGUUUGAGUGUUCGUAGUGAUCAUAAUCAAUGUCAUCUGCGUCAGUCUAAUUAAAUAAAUAUGUUGCUGUUCUUGGUUUCUUGAAAAUGUAUUACGUGCAUGUAAUUCUCAGCAAUAAUGGAUUUAAUUAAUUAUAUAUGAUCAGAUUCUGUCUCUAAUAGUAUGAGUUAUAUAGUAUAUAUGUACUGAUCUCAAAUUCCGUUUCCAGGAGUUUUUUUUUUUUUUUUCCUUCAAGUUUUUACAUUUCCAGGUUUUUCAAUUUUGUUGGUUUAAAUCAUGGGAAAUUCAUUGGUGAUGCUAAGAAACAAAGAUCGUUGUUUCAAAUCCUAUGUUGUCAACUCUUUCUAUUUUAUUUGGAAUGAGUUAUAUAUUUCAUUUCAGUUUAAAAAAUAAAAAAAACUAAGAACGGAUUUUAUCUUGCUUAAAAAAAUAUUAUCUAGUUUUACCAUAUCAAUUAUAUUUCUCGAUCCAACUAUUGAAUCAGGCUGAAAUUAUAUGAGUCUCCAGAUAUAUUGUGAUAUUUCAAGUUAAAAGUUUAGAAAUGCCUUGCAACAUUUUCUGAAUUUUGUUUCUAAAAGUUAUUUUUUUAUGUUUUUUUCAAUUUUAUCAUUUAACAAUAGGUUUAUUAAAACUUAAACUGCAUAAUUUGUUUUGAUUUAUUUUAUUUAUCAUGCAUUUGAAAAGUUAAUUUUUAUUUUUAUUUUUUGCUAUUUUGUGCGCUUUUCAAGUGUCUGAAAAUGAAGAUUUCCAUUGAUUUAAAACCAUAGAGACUCCAUAUAUAUAGUUUUUGAAAUCAUGGGAACUAACUCAUUGGUGAUGCUAAGAAACAAAGAUCGAUGGAUUCAAAUACUAUGGUGUCAAUAUUGAGAUAUAAUCCUAUCGUAACAACAUAUCAUUUAUAAAAUUAUAUUUUCCAAUCUAAUUAUUAGAUUAUGCUAAAAUUUUAUAACAAAUCUCCUAACAUAUUAUGAUACCUCAUGUUAAAAGUUUAGAAAGGCUUGCAAAACUGUCAAUUGCAUUUAUAAUUUUGUUUUGAAAGUUUAUCCUUUUAUCUUUCUUUUUUUUUAGAUUUGAUUAUUUUUCAAUUUUUUAUUUAACAAUAAGUUUAUUAAAAAUUGAGCUAUAUAAUAUUUUUAAUCAAAUUAUAUUUUUAUUAGUUGUAUAAAUUAUGUGCUUUAAAUUAAUAUUUUAAAUUAUAAACAGUUUGGAACGAUAUGUGAAAACGCUAUGAAACUAAAACAUGAAAAAACAGAACACUAACUGGAACGGAUUUGUUUAAACAGAGCAAUUGUAACAUGGACUCCACCAUUAGCCUGUGAACUCAAGAUUCCAACUUCCCCUUUCCUUCCUAGUUUAUGUGAAGUUUGCUUACUCAUUCACAUCAGAGGACAGUUUUCUUUUCUUUAUUUUUCUUUUGUAAAGAAGUUUGAAGCAUCAGGAAACUAGCUCAGUAUUGAAUUGAAACAUGUCUAGUCCUUUAAAAUUCACAGAACGUAACAGGGAUAGUGAGAGUAAUUCAAUAAAGAAGCACUCAAACCAUAUCAUACAUAACUGAGAAGAGAAACUUACUUCGUUCCUCCUCCUCUUUUGAUAAGCCCAGAUGGAGGGAUUCACAGAAGGCAUCAAAAUUGCCCCAAACCUGUAGCAAAACGCAAAGUUGGUUGGCAUACAAUACUCCUGCUAAGGAACUUGAAGAAAGAAAGCGAUUUGGCAUCGCUGCAGCAGCUAGAGAGAUCUUGAAAGAGAUGCUUAGCCUACCUCUUUACAUGUAUCAAAAACAAGAACACCCAAUAUUCCAAUUCUGGUUCACAUCCAAGAUAUUGAAGAGGUCAAUGCUGCGGUCAAUGCAGACGAGAGUGUUGAGGUCAACAGCCAAGUCUCCAUGAUUUGCUUCCUAAUUGGAUCCUCAAAAACAAAGAGCAAAUACCAUGAGAAUAUUCGAAAGCAAUAAUUGAAGGGGCUUAAGCAAAGAUGCCGUUCAUAUAUAUUAAGAGAUUAGGUAAAAAGAAUGGGGAACUACCUGGAACGUAGGACGAGAUUGCGUUUGAAGGAAAAGAAGCGGUAUUAUUUUGACUCACAAUCUUGGAACAAGUACAAAUAAGUCCUUCUCCUUUAUAGUCUGGCUAAUCUACCCCCAAGCUUUGUCUUGCCUUGGCCUUUUGCCCUCUCUCACACUGCAGCUAUAAAUCAUGCUCGUCUUCUGUUUUCGCAGAUACAAAACCCCAGUACUUAUAUUUGGAAUACCAUGAUUAGAGGCUACUCUGAAGCCAAAAUGGGCCAUAGUGGCUUCUUGUUUUUCUGCCAAAUGCUUCAGAAUGGCGCUGAAAUGGACUGUAGGAGCUUUGUUCUUGCGCUCAAAGCGUGCGAGCAGUUUUUGAGAGUUUUAGGAGGGAAAUCAGUUCAUUGUGGUAUUCGAAAGAUGGGUUUUGUUUAUGCUAUGUUGUUUCAAGAUGGGUUGGCUCGUUUUUAUGAUCUGCUGCGUGGUUGUUUGGGUUUUGCUUGACACUUGUUUGAUGGAAUUCCUGCUAGAGAUGGACUUUCUGUCUAUGACUGAUGGAUAUUCUAAGCGUAACUGUUGGGAUGAGACUUCGAAGCUUUUUGACUCGAUGUCAGUGGAGGGCAAUGUAGAGCCCGAAGAGGUCACUAUGAUAGCCGCUCGUUCAGCUUGCUCGCAGAAGGGGGGUUUGAGAUCAGGGAAGAGUUUUCACGAAUAUGUAAGACUAGAAAUGGAAAUCACCAUGAAUGUGAAACGUGGCUGCUUGGAUUCUGCAAGAGGGAUCUUAGAUACCAUUGACCGUUUAUUGUUUUUUUUCACUUAUUAAGACUUACAGUUCUUUUCUAUUAUAUGUAUGUAUAUUUUUAUUUUUUUUCACUUGAAAUUUUUUUAAAUACAAAAAAAUAUUGAAAAAGUCUAUAUAUAAUUUUUUUUGUUAUAUCCAGUAUAAACUAAAAGAGGUGGUGCUUUUAUUGUGCACUACCUUGUAAAAUACUAUUCAUUUCAAUAGUAUUUUUUUGUCUUUUGUUUUCUAAAUAUAUAUUUUUUUUUAAUUUUAUAUUUUAAUAUUUUGUUUAUUGAAAAUUAGGUUUUAUAAUUUAUUGUGGUUUGCUUUAUACGUGGUUAGCUCGAUCUUGUAACCCGUGUCACAGGUUUGGCGGGUUGACUCUAGUUUUAUUUUUCUUUUUUAAUUGAUAAUUUUUUUUCAAUUUCAUCAUUCAACAUUAGGUUGAUUGGAAAUUAGGUUUCAUGAUUUAUUUUGGUUUGCUUGAUAUAAGAUUAUCUCGGUCUCAUUACUUGAGUCGCGGGUUUGGCGGGUUAACCUAGUUAAUUCGAGUUUUUAUUAACUUUUUAUAUUGGAAUUUUUUAUAUUUCAUCCUUCAACAUUUAGUUGAUUAUGAAUUAGGCCUCAUGAAUUAUUUUGGUUUGCUUUCUAUGGGGUUAUCUUGGUCUUAUACUCGGGUCACGUGUUUCGUGGGUUAACCCGGAUAAACUCUUCUUGUUUUGUUGUAUCCUAUUUUUAAAUUUAAUUUUCUUUAUUUUCAACCUUUAACAAUGACAUUAUUGAAAAUUAGGCUUCAUAAUUUUUUUAUUUGCUUUUAACAGAGUUAUCACAGUCUCAUGACCUUGGUCGCGAGUUUGACAGAUUAAUUCAGGUUGACUCAGGUCUUUUUUUUAUUUACUUUCUAUGAGAUUAUCCUGAAUUUUUUUUUUCUAAUUUCAUACUUCAAUACUUAGUUUAUUGGAGAUUAGGAUUCAUAAUUUAUUGUGAUUUGCUUUAUACGUGGUUAGCUCGGACUUAUAACCCGUGUUGCAGGUUUGGCGGGUUACCUCGAGUUUGUUUUCUCUCUUUUUAAUUGACCCCUUUUUUUUCAAUUUAAUCAUUCAACAUCAAGUUGACUGGGAAUUAGACUUCAUGAUUUAUUUUGGUUUGUUUUUUAUGAGGUUCUCUUGGCCUCAUGACUCGAGUCGCGGGUUUGGCGAGUUAACCCUGCUGACUUGAGUUUUUUUUUUUUAACUUUUUGAUUGGCAUUUUUUAUAUUUCAUGAUUCGGCAUUGGUUUGAUUGUGAAUUAGGCUUCAUGAUUUAUUUUGUUUUGCUUUCUAUGAGGUUAUCCAGUCUUAUGCUCGAGUCACGUGUUUUGCGGGUUAACCCAGGUAGACUCAAGUUGUUUCACCGUGUUCUAUUUUUAAAUUGAUUUUUUUUUCAUUUUCAACCUUUAAUAAUGAGUUUAUUAAAAAUUAAGCAUCAUAAUUUAUUUUGAUUUUCUUUUAAUAGGGUUAUCACAAUAUCAUGACCUUCGUCGCAGGUUCGACAUAUUAAUCCGGGUUAAAUCAAGUAAUUUUUUUGUCUACUUUUCAUGAGGUUAUCUUGAUAUGAUGACCCGAAUCACAGGUUUGGCAGGUUAACCUAGAUAAUUUUUUAUUGUUUUUUAAUUAAUUGUUUUCAUUUACAUUCUUCAACAAUGAGUUGAUUGGGAAUUGAGCUUUGUAAUUUGUUUUGAUUUAAUUUUUAUAGAGUUAUCAUGGUCUUAUAAUCUAGGUCGUCGAUUUGACAGAUUAACAUGUGUUAGCCCGAAUCGAUUCAAUAUGUUUUCAUUCUAAUAUUAUUUUAAAAAAAAAAGAUGUUGCCUUGAAUUUUUGUUAAUCAAACAAUGUUUUUACAAGUUGUCUUGGGUUACUUAUAUCCGUCAGGUCGAUCAGGUCACAUCGGCUCAACCUCCACGCGGUUUUAAAAAAUAUUUACUUGAAAAAUAUUAGCAAUGUCUGGAUGUUUCUUUUGUUUGCUAAAAAAAUUGAUCUGACUUGAGGCGUAAAGCAGGUCAACGAUCUAGUCUAUCAACAAAAACUAAUGGAGGGAAAUCAUUGUUCCUCUCCUUGAACGCUACUAUUUAAGUGUUGUUCAUUGGAAAGAAUGUAACCCGUGCCACACCGAGGGUCGGACCAAACUGUUACAAACACUAAAAAAGAAUAUUCAAGCGAUGAUAAUCUGAGACAACCAGGUUAAAUUAACUAAAACACAGCCUGAGAUAUGAGACUGAAAGAAUCAGUAAAAAAAAAAAAAUAGAAAGUUCAAGGCCUAAUAACCUAAUGUCAAAGAUAAAAACAAAAAAAAAGCUUCAAAAAAUACAAUGCCGAAAAAGAAAACCAGAGUCAGCUCGGGUAACUUGACAAACCAACAACCCAUGAUAUGACUUUGGGAUGAAAAAAAGAAUUUCAAAAGGAUGACCUAUGUCGCACCGGACAUCGCAGCAGCCUUAAAAUUUUAUAUUUCAUGGAAAGAAUGGAUUUCUGGCAUCCUAUUCUUUAUUGGGGAACGAUAUUGUUUAAGGAGUCACCACCUAGUAUUAUGGUUACUAGGAACCCUAACUGGUCAACAGAGAUUCUAUGGUUCGGGACUAGUUACGUAAAAGGAAAGAUAUUAUCACCCCUUAAACGUCCUGCCUGUGGCAGACCUCAUUGCUGGUUUUGCCUUAAAUUGCUAAAUAUUUAUUAGAUUAUACUAUUAUAAUUUGCUUAUAAUAUUCCUGACUCUAGCAUCAGUGAAUGUUCAACUACGGAUACUUCUAACUCUGGCGUUAGUAAAUAUUACGUAGCUAUAAAAUAAAUUUAUAUCAAUAUUUUUAUUCCUGACUCUAGCGUCAGUGAAUAAAUAAAAAAAAUAAAUUUAUGUUAUUUUUAUUCAUGCAUACACAUAUUUUUUAUUAUUUUUUAUUUUUUAUUUUUUUUAUUUGAGGCUGGGCCCAGCUCAGCCCAUAUGGGCUGGGCUAGACCCAGCCAGCCCGGCUGGGCAAAGCAACACGCGUGAGCUAAUUCACGCGUGUUGCUCACUGUUCAAGUGAAUUAAAAUUCACUUGAACAGUGCAAUGUGCUAAUUAUUUGGAGAAUGUAGCAAAGCGGGAGGAGAAAGAUUGCUUACCUGAUCUGCUGGAGGCGAUGAAGACGACGGUGAAGUUGAUGUUAGUCUAUGUGUUUUCUGCUUGCGUUUUUCCUUUUGCUUUCCUUGUGAUUCUGUCUGAAUUUAUUCCUCUGUUUCCUUCCCCCCCGAAUUCUCUCCGUUUUUGGUCUCUCUCUCGCUGUAAGCCCCCCCCUGCUCGUCGUCUCCUCUCUUUAUGCUCACGGCUUUCUGUGAAUUUGUUUUGACUGAUCCCUUUCUACUCUGUUUCGUUCUUCGUUUGCCCAAGUUCGUCCUCCCAGUUUUCUUCCUCCGUUCUCUCCUGCCCCUUUUCUUCCCCCCCCCCCCCCCCCCUCCCUUGCUGAGGCCUUUCUCUGGCUUUUAUAAAGCCAGAGAAGGUCUUGUGUCCCGGCCUCCAGAAAUGGCGGGCAUCGUGGAGGCGAGAGAUCGUGGCUUCAGGAAUGGCAUCGUGGGCAUAGUGGCUGUGAUCUGCUGAAUCUUCCCCUGGCCAUGAUCUGCUGAAUUUCACUGUUAAACCGGCUUCCUACGCGCGAAACGAAGGAGACAAUGAACAAUGCUUCCAAAACGGCGUCGUUGUGUCCUUGGGCAUCUGUUUUUCACUUUGGUCCCUAAACAGUUUAAACUUAACAAUUGGGAUCCUAAUCAGUAAUAAUUGAUUUCUUGUGCCCUUGGGUUAAUUUCAAUUAAAUCCCUGAAUUUAUUUAAUUAAUUAAAUCAAAGUUUAAUUAAGUCCACAAACUUAUUAAUUCUUCUGAUUUCAUUUAAUUAAACUAAUCCAAAUUUUAAUUAAAUUUCCAAACUUAUUAAUUCUUUAAUUUCUGACCAAUUUACUCUCAAAUCUGAUAAUUUCAUCCCUGAACUUCGAAUUUGUGUUGUUUUAACCCCAUUCUCAAAUAUAUUUUUAUCCAUUUAUUUUUUUUAUUCAAAAAUUGGGUUAUGACAACCUAGUAAAAAAAAACCAAAGUUUGAUGAUAAAAUGUCAAAAAAAACUUGAGUCAAUCAUAGUUAACUUACCAACCUGCUAUCGGAAUAACCAAACACUAAGAAAAGUGAAAAAAUAAAAAAGCUCAAGGGCAAAUAAUUUAAUGUAAAAUGAUAAAAUUAAAAAAAAAAGCAUAAAAAAAUUCAAGGGAAAAAAUCCUAGUCAAUCUAGGUUAACUUGACUAACCCAUCACACACGACAUGAGAUAUUGAUGGAAAAAAAAAUCAGACUUCCUAAAAAGGACCAGGCAAAAAAGGUCUAAGUUAAAUAAAAAAACAUUGUGAACAAAAAUGCAAGAUGACCCUAGUUAACUUGAUCAACCCACUCUUGAAAUAACGAAAUAGAAAGAGAAGAAAAAAAAAUAACAAAGCUCAGUGCAAAUAAUUUAAUGCAAAAUGAUAAAAAUAAAAAAUAAAAACAAAGUCAUAAAAAAAUUGGGGAACACCGAGUCAACUCGGGUUACCUCGACUGACCCGCCACUCGCGGCAUGAGAUUAGGAUGAAAAAAAUUAGACUUCCAAAAAAAGAACCUAGCGAAAAAGACUGUAGUUAAAUAAAAAGACAUCGUGUAAGAAAAUGCAAGCUAACCGGGGUUAACUUGAUUAACCUGUACUCGGGAUAACCCAAAAUAAUAAUAAAAAAAGUGAAAAAAUCACUUAGCUCAAUGACCAAUAAUUUAACAACAAUGUAUGAAAUUGUUAAAAAAAUCAAUUUCAUAAAAAAAAUAAAGGGGAAAAAACAUGAGGCAAUCAUGGUUAACUUGACUAAUCUAUUACCUGAAAUAUGAGAUCGAGAUAACUCAAUAAAAAAAAGAAAAAUAAUGAGUUAAGGGCUUAAUAACUAAAUGUCAAAGGAUAAAUUAAAAAAAAAUAUCAUUAAAUACCUGUUGUAACAGUGUCAAAUGUGCAUGGGAUGCACACUUCGGCAGGCUGUCCAAAACAGGGCCUGAGGGUGCUGGCAGCCAUGCCAACAGGGGCAGAAAUUGGCAGCGCAGAUUUGUGCAGCUGUAGGUUCGUCAAAGAAAAAUCGGCAGCGCAGAUUGUUGACGAACAUGGGCUGGACGAUGGACUGUCCAGGCCACGCAGGAAAACUCGUCAGGGGGAUAGGCUGACGAGAACUGGGGCUGUCGAGGAAUUCGGCAGCGAAGACAUUGGCAGCCUGCACGCAGAUGCGAAUUCGGCAGCGCGCAGCAGCUUGUGCAAGUCGUUGGCUCGACUUGGCACGAUCUGAAACUUGGACGAAGGACUGUCCAAGGCAUGUGAGUGACUCAACGGAUGACGCAGCAAGAGCUGGCAGCAGGGGCUGCCAGGUGGGCAUGCAGAACGUGGGUAGUGGCAGUUAUGGAUAUCCAAGAUCAUGUGGGUAGUGGCAGUUAUGGAUAUCCAAGAUCAUGGGAUCAUGGGGGCUGACCAGGGGUUGCUCUCAACCCACUAAAGAUCAUGGGGGGAAAACUUCUCACUACUUGGUAGAUAAUGGGGCCACUAUGUUCAUGGGUGAACAUGGGUGAGAUAGUGUCCCACUACUUCCUUAAAAGUAGGAAUGGGGGGUGUGCCUUGUAAAUGCUUGUCUAUAAAUACUUGUGGUAGCUUUUGGUUGAGGGGGGCGGCAUGUAUGGGCAUGCAGCAGCAUGCGUUGGGAAUGUUCAGCAUGUAGGGGCAUGCAAGAACAUGUAGAGCACUAGUUAGAGGUAGCUUGGUGUAGCAUGCAAUCUUUGUGCAUAGCACACAUACGGAAUUGUGUAUAGUUUCCUUUGUUAACGAGAUCAAUAAAGGUGGGGACAGAGUUCCUAUAAAGCUUGUUGUGCACUUUGAUUCUUAUUCUUACUUGUGUAUUCCGCUUGCUUAGUUACUAGGCAAACACGAGUGGGAUUGGCGAGGGAAGGCUGAGUCUAGCGAGGGACUAGGCUGCCGCACGGGUUUCUUCGCGGAGCGAAAAAUUACCCCGUGACACCUGCCAUGUUGGGAGAUAACUAUAAAAAAAAUAACAAAAUAAAAUAUUUAAAAGGAUGAUCGUAGCAUUAACGGUGAAGCACUUCCAGAUGGAAGUCAAGAGUGAGUUAGAAGGUUUCAGCAGUUGCGUUUGAAGCUUAAGACGGCCAAUAACUGAGCUGGUGUUUCAAGAUUCAGCCGUGUAAAUUGUAAAACUAAUUGUGAUUGGAUAGUAAUUGUCCGUCUAAUUAGUGCACUGAUUAUUGUUUGUAAAAUAGAAAGUUGAAAUAUAAAUAUAAAACGAACAAACAUAUUUCGGAUUACAAGAUAAGUAUGUUUUUUUUUUUUUGGUGUCUAAACCAUCUAUCCUCGGAGUAAAACGUCAUUGCACGCCCAUAGUGCUGACGGUCUCGGUCGAUGGCACAGACACCAUUUAUUCUUUGGGCUUCCGAGCAUUUCAAAUCGAUGCAUGCUGCAGAGAUCGAGCGUAAUUCUAGCAUUAUUAUAUUAUAAAAAAUAUAUUGUGGACCCAGAAUUGGAAAUGACUUCAAAUUAUGCACAGGCAUGGAAGGACUUGCCCUUCAACAAUAUCGUGCACCUUGUUGCUUAUUCGAACAAAAACCUCGCAGAAAUCUCAAGAAAAAAUUUACAAAACCAAAUUCUCAAUCAGCUCAAUAUUAAAAAAAAUUGACAAAUAUAAUUUUGAAAAAUAAAGAAAUAAAAAAACAACAUUUUCUAAAAUCACAAGUGCCAAAAAUAAUGGGAAGGAUGGGCUAGGUAAAAUACAAUUAACUGAUAACAAACCUUAUUUAUUCUUGUAGUUUUUUUAUUAAAUGGGGUCCUUGGCCAUUGCCCAUGUUGCCCAAAAUGCUCUAGCUCACUAAACACUUAGACAAGCAUGCAAGAUCUUCAGCAAGUGUUUGGUUUUCGCAAGUUAGAACGAACGAGGUGCACGAGAGGCAAUACGAGCGUACCUCCCGACUCAUUUAGUCUUUGAAAAAGCGUAGUCAUAAGCCUGCGCUUCUCUUGUUCUAUCUACAAAUAAUCCAUCAAGAUUUAACUAACGCCAUGCGAAAUCGAUCAAAUGAACAAGAUUUCCGAAAUCUCUCGCUCGAUGUCUUUCUACCGUGAAUACAGUAGCUAGCUAGUAUAAAUUAACAAGGUCCUUGCAAGAAACCAUAUCAAUCCAGCAGAUAGCUUAAACAUAACCAUUUCUCUCUUUUUUCACGACCCUUGAGAAAAAAAAUGCAGAUCUUCAGCAAAGUGUUGAGAGAUACUGAUGUCCAUGUUCGGUUCUCGUUCCCAACUCAUUGCUUAGAGCAUUUAGAUUUUGCUGGAAAUAAUUCUGUUGAUUUGUAUGUUAAAGAUAGCUGCGGUGAGCUUCGAGUUAUUCGUUGCCUGAAGAGAAAUGGAGUUUAUGACAAGCCAGUGCUUUCUAUGGGCUGGCUUAAAUUUGUUGAUGAUUAUGGACUGAGAGUUGGUGACAUGGUUGUUCUUCAUCGUGAGGAUGACCAUAACCUGGGGUCACAGUUCAUGAUUGAAGCUAAGAGGAGAAUGAAGCUGUUUGGUGAGGAGGAUUGGGGUGAAGUGACAAGAGAUAACUAGCUAUUAUUUGCAUGGAGCGUGGAUGUUCGGCCAGAUCCAGAUAUAUAUAGAAGAAUCAAUUUCCUAAGUUUGGUGUUUUUGUGUGUGUAAAUUAAACAAAUAUGUUGCUGUUCUUAGUUUCUUGAAUAUGUAUUACGUGCAUGUAAUUCUCAGCAAUAAUGGAUUUAAUUAAUUAUAUGUGAUCAGAUUCUGUCUCUAAUAGUAUGAGUUAUACAGUAUAUAUGUACUGAUCUCAAAUUCCGUUUCCAAGAGUUUUUUUUUUUUUUUUUCCUUCAAGUUUUACAUUUCCAGGUUUUUCAAUUUUGUUGGUUUAAAUCAUUGGUGAUGCUAAGAAACAAACAUCAUUGUUUCCAAUCUUACGGUGUCAAUCAUGGUUGUUAAAAUCAUGUUUUGACUCGUAAAAUUGUAUGAUUUUACAAGUCAAAAUAUACUUUACAUGCUGAAUCGUUUGAAAAAAUAAAAAUAGAUGAAAUCAAAUUGAAAUUGAAUGAAAUCGUUGAAAAUCACGAGUUCAUGACCGAUUAAACGACUUCACCAAAACACAUAAACUGAAGUAAAUGUUUCCCUCCAUGCUCCAGCUGUCCGGCGUCUAUUGGCUGGGUAAAUGCACAGUCACUAAUAAAAACAAAGUCUCCAGUCAUCAGUGCGUCGCCUUUCUUCCUUUUCAAUGAGAACAAAUCCCUAAUCUCCUUCUCUAUUAACCAACCAGCAACCACAAAAGCGGCGACGAUCAGUCCAGUCUUCACUACAGUAGCUAGCUAGUUAUAAAUUAACAAGCUCCUUGCAAGAAACUAUAUCAAUCUAGCUGCAGAUAGCUUAAAGGCAACCAUUUCUCUCUUUUUUCACGACCCUUGAGAAAAAAAUGCAGAUCUUCAGCGAAGUGUUGGGAGAUACUGAUGUUCGUUUUCGGUUCUCGCUCCCAGCUCAUUGCUUACAGCAUUUAGAUUUUGCUGGAAAUAAUUAUGUUGAUUUGCAUGUUAAAGAUAGCUCUGGUGAGCUUCGAGUUAUUCGUUGCCUGAAGAGAAAUGAAGAUUAUGACAAGCCAGUGCUUUCUAAGGGCUGGCUUAAAUUUGUUGCUGAUUAUGGACUGAGAGCUGAUGACAUGGUUGUUCUUCAUCGUGAGGAUGACCAUAACCUGGGGUCACAGUUCAGGAUUGAAGCUAAGAGGAGAAUCAAGCUGUUUGGUGAGGAGGAUUGGAGUGAUGUGACAAGAGCUAACUAGCUAUUAUUUGCAUGGAGCGUGGAUGUUCGGCCAUAUCCAGAUAUGCAUAGAAGAAUGGAUUUC
rnacentral:lncRNA from 1 species